rnacentral:rRNA from 1 species
CCUACGGGUGGCAGCAGUGAGGAAUAUUGGUCAAUGGACGAGAGUCUGAACCAGCCAAGUAGCGUGAAGGAUGACUGCCCUAUGGGUUGUAAACUUCUUUUAUAUGGGAAUAAAAUGUUCCACGUGUGGGAUUUUGUAUGUACCAUAUGAAUAAGGAUCGGCUAACUCCGUGCCAGCAGCCGCGGUAAUACGGAGGAUCCGAGCGUUAUCCGGAUUUAUUGGGUUUAAAUGGAGCGUAGGUGGAUUGUUAAGUCAGUUGUGAAAGUUUGCGGCUCAACCGUAAAAUUGCAGUUGAAACUGGCAGUCUUGAGUACAGUAGAGGUGGGCGGAAUUCGUGGUGUAGCGGUGAAAUGCUUAGAUAUCACGAAGAACUCCGAUUGCGAAGGCAGUUCACUGGACUGCAACUGACACUGAGGCUCGAAAGUGUGGGUAUCAAACAGGAUUAGAUACCCUUGUAGUC